rnacentral:rRNA from 1 species
GAUGAACGCUAGCUACAGGCUUAACACAUGCAAGUCGCAGGGUAACAUGAGGAAAGCUUGCUUUCCUUGAUGACGACUGGCGCACGGGUGAGUAACGCGUAUCCAACCUUCCCAUAACUACGGGAUAACCCGUUGAAAGACGGCCUAAUACCGUAUGAUAUCGUUUGCUGACAUCAAAUAACGAUUAAAGGUUUAGCGGUUAUGGAUGGGGAUGCGUCUGAUUAGCUUGUUGGCGGGGUAACGGCCCAUCAAGGCGACGAUCAGUAGGGGUUCUGAGAGGAAGGUCCCCCAGCUUGGAACUGAGACACCGUCCAAACUCCUACGGGAGGCAGCAGUGAGGAAUAGUGGGCAAUGGGCGAGAGCCUGAACCAGCCAAGUAGCGUGCAGGACGACGGCCCUAUGGGUUGUAAACUGCUUUUAUGUGGGGAUAAAGUGCGUGACGUGUCAUGCAUUGCAGGUACCACAUGAAUAAGAACCGGCUAAUUCCGUG